UACGUAGGGGCCGAGCGUUGUCCGGAGUUAUUGGGCGUAAAGCGCGCGCAGGCGGCUUGGCGCGCCCGACGUGAAAGCCCCCCGGCUUAACCGGGGAGGGUCGUCGGGUACGGCCAGGCUUGAGGGCGGGAGAGGGUGGUGGAAUUCCCGGUGUAGUGGUGGAAUGCGCAGAUAUCAGGAGGAACACCGAUGGCGAAGGCAGCUCGCUGGGACGGUACUGACGCUGAGGCGCGAAAGCGUGGGGAGCGAACAGG
rnacentral:rRNA from 1 species